GAUGAACGCUGACAGAAUGCUUAACACAUGCAAGUCAACUUGAAUUUGGGUUUUUAACUUAGGUUUGGGUGGCGGACGGGUGAGUAACGCGUAAAGAACUUGCCUCACAGCUAGGGACAACAUUUGGAAACGAAUGCUAAUACCUAAUAUUAUGAUAAUAGGGCAUCCUAUAAUUAUGAAAGCUAUAAGCGCUGUGAGAGAGCUUUGCGUCCCAUUAGCUAGUUGGAGAGGUAACGGCUCACCAAGGCGAUGAUGGGUAGCCGGCCUGAGAGGGUGAUCGGCCACAAGGGGACUGAGACACGGCCCUUACUCCUACGGGAGGCAGCAGUGGGGAAUAUUGGACAAUGGACCGAGAGUCUGAUCCAGCAAUUCUGAGUGCACGAUGAAGUUUUUCGGAAUGUAAAGUGCUUUCAGUUGGGAAGAAACAAAUGACGGUACCAACAGAAGAAGUGACGGCUAAAUACGUG
rnacentral:rRNA from 1 species